rnacentral:rRNA from 1 species
CCUACGGGGGGCAGCAGUGAGGAAUAUUGGUCAAUGGUCGGGAGACUGAACCAGCCAAGCCGCGUGAGGGAUGAAGGUACAGAGUAUCGUAAACCUCUUUUGUCAGGGAACAAAGGCGGGGACGUGUCCCCGGAUGAGUGUACCUGAAGAAAAAGAAUCGGCUAACUCCGUGCCAGCAGCCGCGGUAAUACGGAGGAUGCGAGCGUUAUCCGGAUUUAUUGGGUUUAAGGGGUGGGCAGGCGGUCUGUUAAGUCAGCGGUCAAAGCCCGGGGCUCAACCCCGGCCCGCCGUUGAAACUGGCAGUCGCGAGUUGGAGAGAAGUAUGCGGAAUGCGCGGUGUAGCGGUGAAAUGCAUAGAUAUCGCGCAGAACUCCGAUUGCGAAGGCAGCAUGCCGGCUCCACACUGACGCUGAGGCACGAAAGCGUGGGUAUCGAACAGGAUUAGAUACCCUUGUAGUC